UUAAGCGACUAAGCGUACACGGUGGAUGCCCUGGCAGUCAGAGGCGAUGAAGGACGUGCUAAUCUGCGAUAAGCGUCGGUAAGGUGAUAUGAACCGUUAUAACCGGCGAUUUCCGAAUGGGGAAACCCAGUGUGAUUCGUCACACUAUCAUUAACUGAAUCCAUAGGUUAAUGAGGCGAACCGGGGGAACUGAAACAUCUAAGUACCCCGAGGAAAAGAAAUCAACCGAGAUUCCCCCAGUAGCGGCGAGCGAACGGGGAGCAGCCCAGAGCCUGAAUCAGUGUGUGUGUUAGUGGAAGCGUCUGGAAAGGCGCGCGAUACAGGGUGACAGCCCCGUACACAAAAAUGCACAUGCUGUGAGCUCGAUGAGUAGGGCGGGACACGUGGUAUCCUGUCUGAAUAUGGGGGGACCAUCCUCCAAGGCUAAAUACUCCUGACUGACCGAUAGUGAACCAGUACCGUGAGGGAAAGGCGAAAAGAACCCCGGCGAGGGGAGUGAAAAAGAACCUGAAACCGUGUACGUACAAGCAGUGGGAGCACGCUUAGGCGUGUGACUGCGUACCUUUUGUAUAAUGGGUCAGCGACUUAUAUUCUGUAGCAAGGUUAACCGAAUAGGGGAGCCGAAGGGAAACCGAGUCUUAACUGGGCGUUAAGUUGCAGGGUAUAGACCCGAAACCCGGUGAUCUAGCCAUGGGCAGGUUGAAGGUUGGGUAACACUAACUGGAGGACCGAACCGACUAAUGUUGAAAAAUUAGCGGAUGACUUGUGGCUGGGGGUGAAAGGCCAAUCAAACCGGGAGAUAGCUGGUUCUCCCCGAAAGCUAUUUAGGUAGCGCCUCGUGAAUUCAUCUCCGGGGGUAGAGCACUGUUUCGGCAAGGGGGUCAUCCCGACUUACCAACCCGAUGCAAACUGCGAAUACCGGAGAAUGUUAUCACGGGAGACACACGGCGGGUGCUAACGUCCGUCGUGAAGAGGGAAACAACCCAGACCGCCAGCUAAGGUCCCAAAGUCAUGGUUAAGUGGGAAACGAUGUGGCAAGGCCCAGACAGCCAGGAUGUUGGCUUAGAAGCAGCCAUCAUUUAAAGAAAGCGUAAUAGCUCACUGGUCGAGUCGGCCUGCGCGGAAGAUGUAACGGGGCUAAACCAUGCACCGAAGCUGCGGCAGCGACGCUGAUGCGUUGUUGGGUAGGGGAGCGUUCUGUAAGCCUGCGAAGGUGUGCUGUGAGGCAUGCUGGAGGUAUCAGAAGUGCGAAUGCUGACAUAAGUAACGAUAAAGCGGGUGAAAAGCCCGCUCGCCGGAAGACCAAGGGUUCCUGUCCAACGUUAAUCGGGGCAGGGUGAGUCGACCCCUAAGGCGAGGCCGAAAGGCGUAGUCGAUGGGAAACAGGUUAAUAUUCCUGUACUUGGUGUUACUGCGAAGGGGGGACGGAGAAGGCUAUGUUGGCCGGGCGACGGUUGACCCGGUUUAAGCGUGUAGGCUGGUUUUCCAGGCAAAUCCGGAAAAUCAAGGCUGAGGCGUGAUGACGAGGCACUACGGUGCUGAAGCAACAAAUGCCCUGCUUCCAGGAAAAGCCUCUAAGCAUCAGGUAACAUCAAAUCGUACCCCAAACCGACACAGGUGGUCAGGUAGAGAAUACCAAGGCGCUUGAGAGAACUCGGGUGAAGGAACUAGGCAAAAUGGUGCCGUAACUUCGGGAGAAGGCACGCUGAUAUGUAGGUGAAGUCCCUCGCGGAUGGAGCUGAAAUCAGUCGAAGAUACCAGCUGGCUGCAACUGUUUAUUAAAAACACAGCACUGUGCAAACACGAAAGUGGACGUAUACGGUGUGACGCCUGCCCGGUGCCGGAAGGUUAAUUGAUGGGGUCAGCGCAAGCGAAGCUCUUGAUCGAAGCCCCGGUAAACGGCGGCCGUAACUAUAACGGUCCUAAGGUAGCGAAAUUCCUUGUCGGGUAAGUUCCGACCUGCACGAAUGGCGUAAUGAUGGCCAGGCUGUCUCCACCCGAGACUCAGUGAAAUUGAACUCGCUGUGAAGAUGCAGUGUACCCGCGGCAAGACGGAAAGACCCCGUGAACCUUUACUAUAGCUUGACACUGAACAUUGAGCCUUGAUGUGUAGGAUAGGUGGGAGGCUUUGAAGUGUGGACGCCAGUCUGCAUGGAGCCGACCUUGAAAUACCACCCUUUAAUGUUUGAUGUUCUAACGUUGACCCGUAAUCCGGGUUGCGGACAGUGUCUGGUGGGUAGUUUGACUGGGGCGGUCUCCUCCUAAAGAGUAACGGAGGAGCACGAAGGUUGGCUAAUCCUGGUCGGACAUCAGGAGGUUAGUGCAAUGGCAUAAGCCAGCUUGACUGCGAGCGUGACGGCGCGAGCAGGUGCGAAAGCAGGUCAUAGUGAUCCGGUGGUUCUGAAUGGAAGGGCCAUCGCUCAACGGAUAAAAGGUACUCCGGGGAUAACAGGCUGAUACCGCCCAAGAGUUCAUAUCGACGGCGGUGUUUGGCACCUCGAUGUCGGCUCAUCACAUCCUGGGGCUGAAGUAGGUCCCAAGGGUAUGGCUGUUCGCCAUUUAAAGUGGUACGCGAGCUGGGUUUAGAACGUCGUGAGACAGUUCGGUCCCUAUCUGCCGUGGGCGCUGGAGAAUUGAGGGGGGCUGCUCCUAGUACGAGAGGACCGGAGUGGACGCAUCACUGGUGUUCGGGUUGUCAUGCCAAUGGCACUGCCCGGUAGCUAAAUGCGGAAGAGAUAAGUGCUGAAAGCAUCUAAGCACGAAACUUGCCCCGAGAUGAGUUCUCCCUGACUCCUUGAGAGUCCUGAAGGAACGUUGAAGACGACGACGUUGAUAGGCCGGGUGUGUAAGCGCAGCGAUGCGUUGAGCUAACCGGUACUAAUGAACCGUGAGGCUUAACCUU
rnacentral:rRNA from 1 species